rnacentral:rRNA from 1 species
CCUACGGGAGGCAGCAGUGAGGAAUAUUGGUCAAUGGGCGCGAGCCUGAACCAGCCAAGUAGCGUGAAGGAUGACUGCCCUACGGGUUGUAAACUUCUUUUAUAAAGGAAUAAAGUGAGGCACGUGUGCCUUUUUGUAUGUACUUUAUGAAUAAGGAUCGGCUAACUCCGUGCCAGCAGCCGCGGUAAUACGGAGGAUCCAAGCGUUAUCCGGAUUUAUUGGGUUUAAAGGGUGCGUAGAUGGGUUGUUAAGUCAGUUGUGAAAGUUUGCGGCUCAACCGUGAAAUUGCAAUUGAUACUGGUAGCCUUGAGUGCAGUUGAGGUAGGUGGAAUUCGUGGUGUAGCGGUGAAAUGCUUAGAGAUCACGAAGAACUCCGAUUGCGAAGGCAGCCUACUAAGCUGCCACUGACAUUGAUGCUCGAAAGUGUGGGUAUCAAACAGGAUUAGAUACCCCUGUAGUC